rnacentral:rRNA from 1 species
UACGUAGGGGGCAAGCGUUGUCCGGGUUUAUUGGGCGUAAAGAGCGUGUAGGCGGCCAGAUAGGUCAGCUGUGAAAACUCGAGGCUCAACCUCGAGAUGUCGGCUGAAACCAUCUGGCUAGAGUCCGGAAGGGGAGAAUGGAAUUCCCGGUGUAGCGGUGAAAUGCGCAGAUAUCGGGAAGAACACCCGUGGCGAAGGCGGUUCUCUGGGACGGUACUGACGCUGAGACGCGAAAGCGUGGGGAGCGAACAGG